rnacentral:rRNA from 1 species
UACGGAGGGAGCAAGCGUUGUUCGGAUUACUGGGCGUAAAGGGCGCGUAGGCGGCCACCGCAAGUCAGUUGUGAAAUCUCUGGGCUUAACCCAGAACGGUCAGCUGAUACUGUGGAAGCUAGAGUACGGAAGAGGCGAGUGGAAUUCCUGGUGUAGCGGUGGAAUGCGCAGAUAUCAGGAGGAACACCAAUAGCGAAGGCAGCUCGCUGGGACGUUACUGACACUGAGGCGCGAAAGCGUGGGGAGCGAACAGG